AGAGUUUGAUCAUGGCUCAGAUUGAACGCUGGCGGCAGGCCUAACACAUGCAAGUCGAACGGUAACAGGAAGCAGCUUGCUGCUUUGCUGACGAGUGGCGGACGGGUGAGUAAUGUCUGGGAAACUGCCUGAUGGAGGGGGAUAACUACUGGAAACGGUGGCUAAUACCGCAUAACGUCGCAAGACCAAAGAGGGGGACCUUCGGGCCUCUUGCCAUCAGAUGUGCCCAGAUGGGAUUAGCUUGUUGGUGAGGUAACGGCUCACCAAGGCGACGAUCCCUAGCUGGUCUGAGAGGAUGACCAGCCACACUGGAACUGAGACACGGUCCAGACUCCUACGGGAGGCAGCAGUGGGGAAUAUUGCACAAUGGGCGCAAGCCUGAUGCAGCCAUGCCGCGUGUAUGAAGAAGGCCUUCGGGUUGUAAAGUACUUUCAGCGGGGAGGAAGGUGUUGUGGUUAAUAACCGCAGCAAUUGACGUUACCCGCAGAAGAAGCACCGGCUAACUCCGUGCCAGCACGCGGUAAUACGGAGGGUGCAAGCGUUAAUCGGAAUUACUGGGCGUAAAGCGCACGCAGGCGGUCUGUCAAGUCGGAUGUGAAAUCCCCGGGCUCAACCUGGGAACUGCAUUCGAAACUGGCAGGCUUGAGUCUUGUAGAGGGGGGUAGAAUUCCAGGUGUAGCGGUGAAAUGCGUAGAGAUCUGGAGGAAUACCGGUGGCGAAGGCGGCCCCCUGGACAAAGACUGACGCUCAGGUGCGAAAGCGUGGGGAGCAAACAGGAUUAGAUACCCUGGUAGUCCACGCCGUAAACGAUGUCUACUUGGAGGUUGUGCCCUUGAGGCGUGGCUUCCGGAGCUAACGCGUUAAGUAGAUCGCCUGGGGAAUACGGCCGCAAGGUUAAAACUCAAAUGAAUUGACGGGGGCCCGCACAAGCGGUGGAGCAUGUGGUUUAAUUCGAUGCAACGCGAAGAACCUUACCUGGUCUUGACAUCCACAGAACUUUCCAGAGAUGGAUUGGUGCCUUCGGGAACUGUGAGACAGGUGCUGCAUGGCUGUCGUCAGCUCGUGUUGUGAAAUGUUGGGUUAAGUCCCGCAACGAGCGCAACCCUUAUCCUUUGUUGCCAGCGGUCCGGCCGGGAACUCAAAGGAGACUGCCAGUGAUAAACUGGAGGAAGGUGGGGAUGACGUCAAGUCAUCAUGGCCCUUACGACCAGGGCUACACACGUGCUACAAUGGCGCAUACAAAGAGAAGCGACCUCGCGAGAGCAAGCGGACCUCAUAAAGUGCGUCGUAGUCCGGAUUGGAGUCUGCAACUCGACUCCAUGAAGUCGGAAUCGCUAGUAAUCGUGGAUCAGAAUGCCACGGUGAAUACGUUCCCGGGCCUUGUACACACCGCCCGUCACACCAUGGGAGUGGGUUGCAAAAGAAGUAGGUAGCUUAACCUUCGGGGGGGCGCUUACCACUUUGUGAUUCAUGACUGGGGUGAAGUCGUAACAAGGUAACCGUAGGGGAACCUGCGGUUGGAUCACCU
rnacentral:rRNA from 1 species